rnacentral:rRNA from 1 species
CAAUAGCGUAUAUUUAAGUUGUUGCAGUUAAAAAGCUCGUAGUUGGAUUUCGGUUGAGAGCGGCCGGUCCGCCGUUUGGUGUGCACUUGGUUGUCUCCUGUCAUCCUUGUGGGAACUGCUCUGGCAUUAAGUUGUCGGGGUUAGGGAACACAUCGUUUACUGUGAAAAAAUUAGAGUGUUUAAAGCAGGCUUAUGCCGUUGAAUACAUUAGCAUGGAAUAAUAAGAUAGGACUUUGGCGUCUAUUUUGUUGGUUUGCACACCAAGGUAAUGAUUAAUAGGGAUAGUUGGGGGUAUUCGUAUUUAAUUGUCAGAGGUGAAAUUCUUGGAUUUAUGAAAGACGAACUUCUGCGAAAGCAUUUACCAAAGAUGUUUUCAUUA